rnacentral:misc_RNA from 1 species
UAUUUAUUUAUUUAUUUUUUAAUGGGCUUGACCUUUGUAAAUUUUUAUUUCAUUCAAUGGAAUAGUUGAAGUUAAAUGUGGUUAUUCAUCAAUUCCACUACUACUUCGUCUAGUUUCAAGUAGGCAAACUUCUAUACCCCCUUAUAAUUGCAGAUAAUAUGAAAUUGAACAUCAUUUGGUCUCUUAACGUUUACAGUGUACUUAUUUAGAAGCCUCCCAACAAUCUUAUUUGGGUAAUG